CGAGGUGUGGCGCAGUUUGGUAGCGCGCUUGGUUCGGGACCAAGAGGUCGUGGGUUCGAAUCCCGUCACCUCGACCA
rnacentral:tRNA from 1 species